rnacentral:lncRNA from 1 species
AUGAACAGGACAUGCACACACACAUAUAUACACACCCCACACCCCACAUACACACAAGUACACACACACACCACACACAUAUACACACAGCACAUACACACCAGUACACACGAACAUACACCACGCAUAUACACACCACACACAGACACCAUACACAUAUAUACACCCCACAUCGCACAUACACACAAGUACACACACACACCACACACAUAUACACACAGCACAUACACACCAGUACACACGAACAUACACCACGCAUAUACACACCACACACAGACACCAUACACAUAUAUACACCCCACACCCCACAUACACACAAGUACACGCACAAACACACCACGCACAUAUACACACCACACACACAAGUACACACACAAAUGUACCUCAUACACAUACACACCACACAAAGUACACACACGAACACAUACCACACACAUAUACACCACACACCCCACAUACACACAAGUACACACACACACCACACACAUAUACACACAGCACAUACACACCAGUACACACGAACAUACACCACACAUAUACACACCACACACAGACACCAUACACAUAUAUACACCCCACACCGCACAUACACACAAGUACACGCACAAACACACCACGCACAUAUACACACCACACACACAAGUACACACACAAAUGUACCUCAUACACAUACACACCACACAAAGUACACACACGAACACAUACCACACACAUAUACACCACACACCCCACAUACACACAAGUACACACACACACCACACACAUAUACACACAGCACAUACACACCAGUACACACGAACAUACACCACGCAUAUACACACCACACACAAACACCAUACACAUAUAUACACCCCACACCGCACAUACACACAAGUACACACACAAACACACCACGCACAUAUACACACCACACACACAAGUACACACACAAAUGUACCUCAUACACAUACACACCACACAAAGUACACACCCGAACACAUACCACACACAUAUACACCACACACCCCACAUACACACAAGUACACACACACAACCAUGCACAUAUACACACCACACACAAGUACACACACCACACAUAUACACACAACACACAAGCACACACAUAUACACACCACACAACACAUACAAGCACACACACACCACACACAUAUACACGCAACACACAACACACACAAGUGCACACACACACCCCAGACACACACACACACACCCCUCUCACACCAAUACACACACCACAGAAACAUACCACACACACACACUACACACACACAAAGGGGUCGUGGAAGGUUCACUGACUGGGCUUUCACUGAAACUCUGGUGAGGCCCCCUGUGCAGUGGCCCACGCCUGUGAUGCCCGCGCUUUGGGAGGCUCAGGUGGUUGGGUCGCUUGAGCCCGGGAGGUCGAGGCUGCAGUGA